rnacentral:tmRNA from 1 species
GGGGGUGUACUGGAUUCGACACUCAGUUUGAAGCGGUAUAAGCACGUCGCAGGCUCGGCUGCGUAAAAACGGAAAUUAAAAUUAAAUGCAAAAAACAAUCAAAAGAGCUCCAAUAUGGAGUUCGCUCUUGCUGCGUAAUUAACUAGUGGCACAUCGACGCAAGGUUUUCUGUUCCCUUGUAGGUCGGUGUUAUAAAAACAGACAACGCAACCCGAUUUCUCGGUAAGGUUGUUGUUAUUACGGGAUCAUCAAUCGGAGGUUUGCGAAUGAACCGAAGUGCGAAACAAUCAAUCAUUCGAUAAACGUGUAGAAAGUGCCGAAUAUGGCUGUUUGGACCGGGGUCCGACUCCCCGCACCUCCACCA